rnacentral:rRNA from 1 species
GAUGAACGCUAGCGGGAGGCCUAACACAUGCAAGCCGAGCGGUAGAGAUUCUUCGGAAUCUUGAGAGCGGCGUACGGGUGCGGAACACGUGUGCAACCUGCCUUUAUCAGGGGGAUAGCCUUUCGAAAGGAAGAUUAAUACCCCAUAAUAUAUUUGAUGGCAUCAUUAGAUAUUGAAAGCUUUGGCGGAUAGAGAUGGGCACGCGCAAGAUUAGAUAGUUGGUGAGGUAACGGCUCACCAAGUCGAUGAUCUUUAGGGGGCCUGAGAGGGUGAUCCCCCACACUGGUACUGAGACACGGACCAGACUCCUACGGGAGGCAGCAGUGAGGAAUAUUGGACAAUGGGUUAGCGCCUGAUCCAGCCAUCCCGCGUGAAGGACGACGGCCCUAUGGGUUGUAAACUUCUUUUGUACAGGGAUAAACCUACUCUCGUGAGAGUAGCUGAAGGUACUGUACGAAUAAGCACCGGCUAACUCCGUG